UCACGUUGCUAACGUGCAUGAUGGGCACGAUGGACAGUACACACGAUGCCUGCAUGGGAGCCUCGAAAGGAGAGACUGGCUUUGUCCUGGCUCACCUGAACACAGUCGUUUCGUGUCCCUCACUACGGACCGUUGCCUUUUAAAGGACAUAGCUCAGCUGUCACCAGCGGGGCAGACUUACAGCCUUGAGUCAUUCCAUGCGGUCAUCAUUCACUUCGCUUCAAAGUCUGUGCCUUACACUCCGGCUGUCAUGCAAGCUAGAACACGACUUGCAGCUCUCCAUUUCAACGAAAAUGCAAAUCGAGUGCAAGCAGUGAAGCGGAGCGGAGAAGGAAAAUUCAAGAUCAAGCUGCAGCGUGCAAGGGAGGGUCAUUAUGUGGCGUGCCCACUGAAUGUGGACGCAA